GAUGAACGCUGGCGGCGUGCUUAACACAUGCAAGUCGAACGGGAUCCAUCAAGCUUGCUUGGUGGUGAGAGUGGCGAACGGGUGAGUAAUGCGUGACCGACCUGCCCCAUACACCGGAAUAGCUCCUGGAAACGGGUGGUAAUGCCGGAUGUUCCAGUUGAUCGCAUGGUCUUCUGGGAAAGAUUUCGCGGUAUGGGAUGGGGUCGCGUCCUAUCAGCUUGGCGACGGGGUAACGGACCACCGUGGCUUCGACGGGUAGCCGGCCUGAGAGGGCGACCGGCCACAUUGGGACUGAGAUACGGCCCAGACUCCUACGGGAGGCAGCAGUGGGGAAUAUUGCACAAUGGGCGCAAGCCUGAUGCAGCGACGCCGCGUGAGGGAUGGAGGCCUUCGGGUUGUAAACCUCUUUUAUCGGGGAGCAAGCGUGAGUGAGUUUACCCGUUGAAUAAGCACCGGCUAACUACGUGCCAGCAGCCGCCGUAAGAC
rnacentral:rRNA from 1 species